rnacentral:rRNA from 1 species
CCUACGGCGUGCAGCAGUGAGGAAUAUUGGUCAAUGGGCGCGAGCCUGAACCAGCCAACUAGCGUGAAGGAUGACUGCCCUACAGGUUGUACACUUCUUUUAUAAAAGCAUAAAGUGAUGCACGUAUGCCUUUUUGUAUGUACUUUAUGAAUAAGGAUCGGCUAACUACGUGCCAGCAGCCGCGGUAAUACGGAGGAUCCGAGCGUUAUCCGGAUUUAUUGGGGUUAAAGGGAGCGUAGAUGGGUUGUUAAGUCAGUUGUGAAAGUUUGCGGCUCAACCGUAAAAUUGCAAUUGAUACUGGCAGUCUUGAGUACAGUUGAGGUAGGCGGAAUUCGUGGUGU